UGAGUACGAGAUGCUACGGCAUCGAAGCAGUCUAUGUCAUACUUCCAAGAAAAGCUUGCACUGUCAGAAACAGAUAAUGCCUGUACCUUAACCGACACAGGUGGGUAGGUAGAGUAUACUAAGGGGCGCGAGAUAACUCUCUCUAAGGAACUCGGCAAAAUGACUCCGUAACUUCGGGAGAAGGAGUGCCUUAUUUUUAAGGUUGCAAUAACAAGAUCCAAGCAACUGUUUACCAAAAACACAGGUCUCCGCUAAGUCGUAAGACGAUGUAUGGGGGCUGACGCCUGCCCAGUGCCAGAAGGUUAAAGAAGUCGGUUAGCAUUCGCGAAGCUGGUAACUGAAGCCCUGGUGAACGGCGGCCGUAACUAUAACGGUCCUAAGGUAGCGAAAUUCCUUGUCGGGUAAGUUCCGACCCGCACGAAAGGCGUAAUGAUUUGGAUACUGUCUCGGAGAGGGGCUCGGUGAAAUAGACUUGUCUGUGAAGAUGCGGACUACCUGCACCUGGACAGAAAGACCCUAUGAAGCUUUACUGUAACUUGAAAUUGAAAUUGGACUUUAUUUGCGCAGUAUAGGUGGGAGGCGUUGAAAAUAUUCUUGCGGGAAUAUUGGAGCCAUCAGUGAGAUACCACUCUUGUAAUGUUAGAUUUCUAACUUUAUAUCAUUAUCUGGUUAAAGAACAGUUUCAGGCGGGCAGUUUGACUGGGGCGGUCGCCUCCCAAAUGGUAACGGAGGCGCACAAAGGUUUCCUCUGAACGGGUAGAAAUCGUAUCUAGAGUGUAAAGGCAUAAGGAAGCUUGACUGUGAGACCUACAAGUCGAGCAGGGACGAAAGUCGGUCUUAGUGAUCUGGCGGUGCUGAGUGGAAAGGCCGUCACUCAACGGAUAAAAGUUACUCUAGGAUAACAGGCUGAUCUCCCCCAAGAGUUCACAUCGACGGGGAGGUUUGGCACCUCGAUGUCGGCUCAUCGCAUCCUGGGGCGGUAGUACGUCCCAAGGGUUGGGCUGUUCGCCCACGAAAGCGGUACGCGAGCUGGGUUCAGAACGUCGUGAGACAGUUCGGUCCAUAUCCGGUGUAGGCGUUAGAAUAUUGAGAGGAGCCUUCUUUAGUACGAGAGGACCGAGAAGGACAUACCUCUGGUGUACCAGUUAUCGUGCCAACGGUAAACGCUGGGUAGCUAUGCAUGGAGUGGAUAACCGCUGAAAGCAUCUAAGUGGGAAGCCCACCUCAAGAUAAGUAUUCUCA
rnacentral:rRNA from 1 species